rnacentral:rRNA from 1 species
ACGAACUGUGCGAACGUUAUUCGGAAUCACUGGGCUUAAAGGGUGCGUAGGCGGCUAUGAGGGUCAGAUGUGAAAUCCCACGGCUCAACCGUGGAACUGCGUUUGAAACCGCAUAGCUUGAGGAAGUCAGAGGUAAGCGGAACUGAUGGUGGAGCGGUGAAAUGCGUUGAUAUUAUCAGGAACACCGGUGGCGAAAGCGGCUUACUGGGACUUUUCUGACGCUGAGGCACGAAAGCCAGGGGAGCGAACGGG